UCUGUCCUGCCCACUGAUAAAAGUUUGAAGGGCCGCGGUAUUAUGACCGUGCGAAGGUAGCAUAGUCAAUAGUCUUUUAAUUGAAGGCUGGAAUGAAUGGUUGGACGGGAAGAUGACUGUCUUGUUUAGAUAAAGUGAAAUUGACUUUUGUGUGAAAAGGCGUAAAUGAUUUGGGGGGACGAUAAGACCCUAUAAAACUUGAUGAUUUAGUUGGAUGCCUGAAUUUUGAGUAAAUGGUUUUUAAGUGUAGUCAUUCUGUUGGGGAGACAGGGAUAUAAUUGGUAGCUGUUCUGAAAAUUAAAUAGUAAUAAUUAGAAAGUGACCCUUAAUUUGGGUUUAAAAGUUAAAGUUACUUUAGGGAUAACAGCGUAAUUUCUCUUGAGAGUUCAUAUCGACAGAGAUAGUUGCGACCUCGAUGUUGAAUUAAAAUUUCCUCUGGGAGUAGGAAUUCAGGAGGAAGGUCUGUUCGACCUUUAAAAUUUU
rnacentral:rRNA from 1 species